rnacentral:rRNA from 1 species
CAGUAGCCGCGGUAAUACAGAGGGUGCAAGCGUUAAUCGGAAUUACUGGGCGUAAAGCGCGCGUAGGUGGUUUGUUAAGUUGGAUGUGAAAUCCCCGGGCUCAACCUGGGAACUGCAUUCAAAACUGACUGACUAGAGUAUGGUAGAGGGUGGUGGAAUUUCCUGUGUAGCGGUGAAAUGCGUAGAUAUAGGAAGGAACACCAGUGGCGAAGGCGACCACCUGGACUAAUACUGACACUGAGGUGCGAAAGCGUGGGGAGCAAACAGGAUUAGAUACCCCAGUAGUCCCUGUCUCUUAUAU